rnacentral:lncRNA from 1 species
CGAAAAGGCAAGAGACAGAAGGAUAUGAGAAAAGGAGCAGAAGAAGAGGUAAUAGUGCAUUCUUAGGAGAAAAAUUAUAUUUGGAGAAUGGGUGGUUGACAAUGACAUGCUCAUUAUAUGGAAUCUGCCAAUAUUAGAGCAUCAAGGGCACGAAAACGACUACGCUCGAAGCAAUGUACAUUAAUAGGAACACAUAUUUGAAUUCAAUAUUUUUUGUUUUUUAAUGAAAUCUGUAAUGAAAUUGUAGUCAUUUUGCCUUCUCCAUUUUCCAGCUUUUGUAUGUUAAUAAUUUUGGGGAAGUUAUGAAAAUUAUGUGCAAAUAUAGAAAUCAGAAGAUGACUGAACCUAGGCCUAAUAGUGCAUGAUAACAACUCCAUUUUCCGUCAUUAUGAGAUUGGAUAAGUGAUCUAUUUUACUGAUAAUUUCUUGUAUAAAAUUUAUAGAUUCCUUUUGAUGAUUUUUGUAUUCCAUUGUUGCAAGAAGCAACCAUAUACCCAACAAGAUUUCGAAACAGCUAUGUACUUAAGUAGACAGAUCAUUGGCUUUUUAUUGAAGUGCAGUUGAAUUAUGAUUUCGUCCAGUGUAUUGAUUUUGGAAUGUAUAUUAAAAACAUAUUAGUAUCUUGAUUUGGUAUUAUAUUUCGAUUGCUUUUUGUAAUCCAUUAUGUUUUUUUGUGGAAUAAGCUUAAUAUUCAUAAGUGCUUGGCUGCCAGGAUAAUCCUAGCAUUCUUAAGUGCUUGACUGUCAGGAUAUAUUUGCUGAUCUAUUUCAAUGAUUUAUAUUGAUUUCAAGGACAAAUUAUUUUUCUAGCGUACUUAAAAAAGCCCAUCUGUCUAAGAGACUUUGAUGCUGUUGCACUAUAGAAACUCAACUCUAUCUUAUGGUUCCAGCAAAUUUAAGGCAACUGAGAAUACAAAACCUCUCAUGAAAAACAUAUACAAAAAAAAUACAAAUUGCCUAUAAGAAAAUUGACAUAAUUUAAUCAUAACUCAAAGGCUCGAAGCCAUUAAUGGAUCAAAAGUAUCAAGUUACAGUUAGCUAACUUUCUGCAGCAACAAAAUAAGAAGUGUUCUCAUCCUAAUCAAUUAAGUGACAAUAAAAUAAUACAGAAGGAUAUAAUCUGCACCAUCAAAUAGACUGAGUUCUAGCAUAGUCAUAGAGAAGGAUCAUGUCUUGGCAGUCAUAACAAGUCCUUAACAAGAAUAGACAAAUUCACUCAAUUUUGAAUAAAGCAAUAACUAGAAAACCUACUUUAAUAUCAAAUAACAGAGAAGUUUUAUAAGGGGAUGGCAAUAGACAUUCAAAUUACAAACACAAAUUUCAAAUUAUUGGGAUUC